UGACCACGUUUUCUGCCUUUCCCCAUCCCAGUUCUACAAGAACCAGAGCUUCCAGGAGCAAGGAAAGAAGGCCUUCCCCUUCCACAGCUUCCCACCAGCACAUGGCUUCACACUACCCUGCAGUCAGAAUGUUUCAGUCAGAGAUGGGUGACAGUGCCUGAAGGGAAAUUUGUUCACCAUCCACAAAAGGACCAGCCCAGCUUCCAUGGCCUCAACUCAGUCUUCUCAUUCCCAAGCCAUUCCACAAACUUCUUCAUCCUUUUGAAGGAAAGGAAUUGUCUUCACUGAAAUAGAAUACGGGGACAGCCCAAACUCAAGAGAUCACUGGGAGAACGACAGCCAAAGGAUUAAGUCUGUGCCAGAGUGACAAACUGCUAUCAAACACCAAUUACAACAGAAGAUGGUAUGGAAAUACGAAUGUAGUCUAGAAGUGCUGUCUCUAAAUGCCAUCCACUCCAUAAAGGAAAA